AUGGAGAAGUCGGGAACUGAACUAGUAACUCCAGAGACAGAUGGUCCUGUAGAUGAGUUAUUUACAGAUCUUGAACAAGCAUCGGUCUUUUCUUUUUCAGCACUGCAAGAGUCAUUUAAUACUGUUGAUUUUGGAGUCUCGGUGGAAGCAUUGUCCUGGUGAACAAUGUUGUUAUCGCCUUGUUCCGUAUCUGGUUUGUGA
rnacentral:rRNA from 1 species